AGAAUUGAAAGCUAAUGUAUAAGCAGCGACCUUGUAAGUCGAAGAUAGAGAAUACUCUCAAUUCU
rnacentral:tRNA from 1 species